rnacentral:rRNA from 1 species
GGUUAAGCGACUAAGCGUACACGGUGGAUGCCCUGGCAGUCAGAGGCGAUGAAGGACGUGCUAAUCUGCGAUAAGCGUCGGUAAGGUGAUAUGAACCGUUAUAACCGGCGAUUUCCGAAUGGGGAAACCCAGUGUGAUUCGUCACACUAUCAUUAACUGAAUCCAUAGGUUAAUGAGGCGAACCGGGGGAACUGAAACAUCUAAGUACCCCGAGGAAAAGAAAUCAACCGAGAUUCCCCCAGUAGCGGCGAGCGAACGGGGAGCAGCCCAGAGCCUGAAUCAGUGUGUGUGUUAGUGGAAGCGUCUGGAAAGGCGCGCGAUACAGGGUGACAGCCCCGUACACAAAAAUGCACAUGCUGUGAGCUCGAUGAGUAGGGCGGGACACGUGGUAUCCUGUCUGAAUAUGGGGGGACCAUCCUCCAAGGCUAAAUACUCCUGACUGACCGAUAGUGAACCAGUACCGUGAGGGAAAGGCGAAAAGAACCCCGGCGAGGGGAGUGAAAAAGAACCUGAAACCGUGUACGUACAAGCAGUGGGAGCACGCUUAGGCGUGUGACUGCGUACCUUUUGUAUAAUGGGUCAGCGACUUAUAUUCUGUAGCAAGGUUAACCGAAUAGGGGAGCCGAAGGGAAACCGAGUCUUAACUGGGCGUUAAGUUGCAGGGUAUAGACCCGAAACCCGGUGAUCUAGCCAUGGGCAGGUUGAAGGUUGGGUAACACUAACUGGAGGACCGAACCGACUAAUGUUGAAAAAUUAGCGGAUGACUUGUGGCUGGGGGUGAAAGGCCAAUCAAACCGGGAGAUAGCUGGUUCUCCCCGAAAGCUAUUUAGGUAGCGCCUCGUGAAUUCAUCUCCGGGGGUAGAGCACUGUUUCGGCAAGGGGGUCAUCCCGACUUACCAACCCGAUGCAAACUGCGAAUACCGGAGAAUGUUAUCACGGGAGACACACGGCGGGUGCUAACGUCCGUCGUGAAGAGGGAAACAACCCAAACCGCCAGCUAAGGUCCCAAAGUCAUGGUUAAGUGGGAAACGAUGUGGGAAGGCCCAGACAGCCAGGAUGUUGGCUUAGAAGCAGCCAUCAUUUAAAGAAAGCGUAAUAGCUCACUGGUCGAGUCGGCCUGCGCGGAAGAUGUAACGGGGCUAAACCAUGCACCGAAGCUGCGGCAGCGACGCUGAUGCGUUGUUGGGUAGGGGAGCGUUCUGUAAGCCUGCGAAGGUGUGCUGUGAGGCAUGCUGGAGGUAUCAGAAGUGCGAAUGCUGACAUAAGUAACGAUAAAGCGGGUGAAAAGCCCGCUCGCCGGAAGACCAAGGGUUCCUGUCCAACGUUAAUCGGGGCAGGGUGAGUCGACCCCUAAGGCGAGGCCGAAAGGCGUAGUCGAUGGGAAACAGGUUAAUAUUCCUGUACUUGGUGUUACUGCGAAGGGGGGACGGAGAAGGCUAUGUUGGCCGGGCGACGGUUGUCCCGGUUUAAGCGUGUAGGCUGGUUUUCCAGGCAAAUCCGGAAAAUCAAGGCUGAGGCGUGAUGACGAGGCACUACGGUGCUGAAGCAACAAAUGCCCUGCUUCCAGGAAAAGCCUCUAAGCAUCAGGUAACAUCAAAUCGUACCCCAAACCGACACAGGUGGUCAGGUAGAGAAUACCAAGGCGCUUGAGAGAACUCGGGUGAAGGAACUAGGCAAAAUGGUGCCGUAACUUCGGGAGAAGGCACGCUGAUAUGUAGGUGAAGUCCCUCGCGGAUGGAGCUGAAAUCAGUCGAAGAUACCAGCUGGCUGCAACUGUUUAUUAAAAACACAGCACUGUGCAAACACGAAAGUGGACGUAUACGGUGUGACGCCUGCCCGGUGCCGGAAGGUUAAUUGAUGGGGUUAGCGCAAGCGAAGCUCUUGAUCGAAGCCCCGGUAAACGGCGGCCGUAACUAUAACGGUCCUAAGGUAGCGAAAUUCCUUGUCGGGUAAGUUCCGACCUGCACGAAUGGCGUAAUGAUGGCCAGGCUGUCUCCACCCGAGACUCAGUGAAAUUGAACUCGCUGUGAAGAUGCAGUGUACCCGCGGCAAGACGGAAAGACCCCGUGAACCUUUACUAUAGCUUGACACUGAACAUUGAGCCUUGAUGUGUAGGAUAGGUGGGAGGCUUUGAAGUGUGGACGCCAGUCUGCAUGGAGCCGACCUUGAAAUACCACCCUUUAAUGUUUGAUGUUCUAACGUGGACCCGUAAUCCGGGUUGCGGACAGUGUCUGGUGGGUAGUUUGACUGGGGCGGUCUCCUCCUAAAGAGUAACGGAGGAGCACGAAGGUUGGCUAAUCCUGGUCGGACAUCAGGAGGUUAGUGCAAUGGCAUAAGCCAGCUUGACUGCGAGCGUGACGGCGCGAGCAGGUGCGAAAGCAGGUCAUAGUGAUCCGGUGGUUCUGAAUGGAAGGGCCAUCGCUCAACGGAUAAAAGGUACUCCGGGGAUAACAGGCUGAUACCGCCCAAGAGUUCAUAUCGACGGCGGUGUUUGGCACCUCGAUGUCGGCUCAUCACAUCCUGGGGCUGAAGUAGGUCCCAAGGGUAUGGCUGUUCGCCAUUUAAAGUGGUACGCGAGCUGGGUUUAGAACGUCGUGAGACAGUUCGGUCCCUAUCUGCCGUGGGCGCUGGAGAACUGAGGGGGGCUGCUCCUAGUACGAGAGGACCGGAGUGGACGCAUCACUGGUGUUCGGGUUGUCAUGCCAAUGGCACUGCCCGGUAGCUAAAUGCGGAAGAGAUAAGUGCUGAAAGCAUCUAAGCACGAAACUUGCCCCGAGAUGAGUUCUCCCUGACUCCUUGAGAGUCCUGAAGGAACGUUGAAGACGACGACGUUGAUAGGCCGGGUGUGUAAGCGCAGCGAUGCGUUGAGCUAACCGGUACUAAUGAACCGUGAGGCUUAACCUU